ACAAUGGGCGCAAGCCUGAUGCAGCAACGCCGCGUGCCCGGACGACGGCCUUCGGGUUGUAAACCUCUUUUAGCAGGGAAGAAGCGAAAGUGACGGUACCUGCAGAAAAAGCACCGGCUAACUAC
rnacentral:rRNA from 1 species